UGGCGAUUUCGAACGGUCCAA
rnacentral:siRNA from 1 species